rnacentral:tRNA from 1 species
GCCGCUGUAGCUCAGUCGGGAGAGAGCGGACGCCUCGUACGCGUCAGGCCCUCGGUUCGAUCCUGAGCGGCGGCU